rnacentral:rRNA from 1 species
AACUAACGCUGGCGGCGUGCCUAACACAUGCAAGUCGUACGAGAAAGUUGGCUUCGGCCGAUGAGUAAAGUGGCGCACGGGUGAGUAAUGCGUGGAUAAUCUGCCCUUUAGUUGGGAAUAACGUACCGAAAGGUGCGCUAAUACCUGAUAAUACUGCAUAACUACUGUUGUGUAGUCAAAGAAGGCCUCUGUUUACAAGCUUUUGCUGAAGGAUGAGUCCGCGUACCAUUAGCUGGUUGGUGGGGUAAUGGCCUACCAAGGCUACGAUGGUUAGCUGGUCUGAGAGGAUGAUCAGCCACACUGGAACUGAGACACGGUCCAGACUCCUACGGGAGGCAGCAGUGAGGAAUAUUGCGCAAUGGGGGCAACCCUGACGCAGCAACGCCGCGUGAGUGAAGAAGGCCUUCGGGUUGUAAAGCUCUGUUGAAGGGGAAGAUAAUGACGGUACCUUCGAGGAAGCCACGGCUAACUACGUGCCAGCAGCCGCGGUAAACG